AACGAACGCUGGCGGCAUGCCUAACACAUGCAAGUCGAACGAGACCUUCGGGUCUAGUGGCGCACGGGUGCGUAACGCGUGGGAACCUGCCCUUAGGUUCGGAAUAACUCCCCGAAAGGGGUGCUAAUACCGGAUAAUGUCUUCGGACCAAAGAUUUAUCGCCUUUGGAUGGGCCCGCGUUGGAUUAGCUAGUUGGUAGGGUAAAAGCCUACCAAGGCGACGAUCCAUAGCUGGUCUGAGAGGAUGAUCAGCCACACUGGGACUGAGACACGGCCCAGACGCGUACGAGAAGCAGCAGUGGGGAAAAUUUGACAAGGGGCGAAAGCCUGAUCCAGCAAGGCCGGGUUAGUGAUGAAGGCGUUAGGGUUGUAAAGCGCUUGUACCCAGGAGGAUAAGGACAGUACCGGUAGAAUAAGCCCCGGCUAACUCCUG
rnacentral:rRNA from 1 species